UUCCGGUUGAUCCUGCCGGACCUGACUGCUAUCGGAUUGAUACUAAGCCAUGCGAGUCAUUGUAGCAAUACAAGGNCAGACGGCUCAGUAACGCGUAGUCAAUCUACCCUAUGGACGGGAAUAAUCUCGGGAAACUGAGAAUAAUGCCCGAUAGAACAUUAUACUUGGAAUGGUUUAUGUCUCAAAUGAUUUAUCGCCAUAGGAUGGGACUGCGGCCUAUCAGUUUGUUGGUGAGGUAAUGGCCCACCAAGACUAUUACAGGUACGGGCUCUGAGAGGAGUGGCCCGGAGAUGGGUACUGAGACACGGACCCAGGCCCUAUGGGGCGCAGCAGGCGAGAAAACUUUGCAAUGUGCGAAAGCACGACAAGGUUAAUCCGAGUGGUUUCUGCUAAAGAAACCUUUUGUCAGUCCUAGAAACACUAACGAAUAAGGGGUGGGCAAGUUCUGGUGUCAGCCGCCGCGGUAAAACCAGCACCCCAAGUGGUCAGGAUGAUUAUUGGGCCUAAAGCAUCCGUAGCUCGUUUUGUAAGUUUUCGGUUAAAUCCAUACGCUUAACGUAUGGGCUGCCGGGAAUACUGCAUAACUAGGAAGUGGGAGAGGUAGACGGUACUCGGUAGGAAGGGGUAAAAUCCUUUGAUCUAUUGAUGACCACCUGUGGCGAAGGCGGUCUACCAGAACACGUUCGACGGUGAGGGAUGAAAGCUGGGGGAGCAAACCGGAUUAGAUACCCGGGUAGUCCCAGCUGUAAACUAUGCAAACUCAGUGAUGCAUUGGCUUGUGGCCAAUGCAGUGCUGCAGGGAAGCCGUUAAGUUUGCCGCCUGGGAAGUACGUACGCAAGUAUGAAACUUAAAGGAAUUGGCGGGGGAGCACCACAAGGGGUGAAGCCUGCGGUUCAAUUGGAUUCAACGCCGGAA
rnacentral:rRNA from 1 species